AUGACUUUAAAUAGCAUUGAACCCACUAUCUCGGAUUUCAAGGAAUUUGAUUAUGAUAAUUUUUCUUUAGAAGGUUGUAUUUCCUUGUUGCAAUCCGUUGUUAAUUCUCCUCAUGCUUAUAGUCAAAAUAAAGCUUUUACCAAACAUAUCGUUGAUGCCUUGAUGCAAUCUUAUGAUGAAAAACUUAAUUUGGAAGUUUCUAUACCUAGAAAACUUAAUGAUGAGUGGGAACCUACUAUAAAGAUUAAAAUUAAAGAUCAUGAGUGUUUUGCUUUGUGCGAUUUGGGUGCUAGUGUUUCCAUGAUUCCGAAAAUUUUAUGCGAUAUUCUAGGUUUCCAUGAUCUUGAUGAUUGCCCUUUAAAUUUGCACCUUGCGGAUUCCACCAUUAAAAAGGCAAUGGGAUGGAUAAAUGAUGUUACCAUUGUUGCAAAUAGAAAUUUGGUGCCCGUAGAUUUUAUAUUUCUUGAUAUUGAUUGCAAUCUUUCUUGCCCUAUUAUUCUUGGUAGACCUUUCCUUAGAACGAUUGGCGCGAUUAUUGAUAUGAAGGAAGGGAAUAUUAGAUUCCAAUUUUCAUUAAGGAAAGGCAUGGAGCACUUUACAAGAAAGAAAAUUAAAUUACCUUAUGAAUCUAUCAUGCGAGCUACUUAUGAAUCGAAUGCCAAAGAUGGCACUACUUAG
rnacentral:rRNA from 1 species